GUCUAUGACCAUGCUACCCUGAACAAGCCCAAUCUUGUCAGAUCUUGGAAGCUAAGCAGGGUUGGGCCUGGUUAGUACUUGGAUGGGAAACCACCAAGGAAGACCGGAUGCUGUAGGCG
rnacentral:rRNA from 1 species